rnacentral:rRNA from 1 species
GACGAACGCUGGCGGCGUGCCUAAUACAUGCAAGUCGAACGGUUCUUUCUUUUGGAAGCUUGCUUCCGAUCGAGAGAAUAGUGGCGAACGGGUGAGUAACACGUGGGUAACCUGCCCAUAAGAGGGGGAUAACAUCCGGAAACGGGUGCUAAUACCGCAUAGUUUUUUUGAUCGCAUGAUCGAGAAAGGAAAGACGGCCUUUGUGCUGUCGCUUAUGGAUGGACCCGCGGCGUAUUAGUUAGUUGGUGAGGUAAUGGCUCACCAAGACGAUGAUACGUAGCCGACCUGAGAGGGUGAUCGGCCACAUUGGGACUGAGACACGGCCCAAACUCCUACGGGAGGCAGCAGUAGGGAAUCUUCCGCAAUGGACGAAAGUCUGACGGAGCAACGCCGCGUGAGUGAAGAAGGUUUUCGGAUCGUAAAACUCUGUUGUCAGAGAAGAACAAGUCGGAGAGUAACUGCUCCGGCCUUGACGGUAUCUGACCAGAAAGCCACGGCUAACUACGUGCCAGCAGCCGCGGUAAUACGUAGGUGGCAAGCGUUGUCCGGAUUUAUUGGGCGUAAAGCGAGCGCAGGCGGUUCCUUAAGUCUGAUGUGAAAGCCCACGGCUCAACCGUGGAAGGUCAUUGGAAACUGGGGAACUUGAGUGCAGAAGAGGAGAGUGGAAUUCCAUGUGUAGCGGUGAAAUGCGUAGAUAUAUGGAGGAACACCAGUGGCGAAGGCGACUCUCUGGUCUGUAACUGACGCUGAGGCUCGAAAGCGUGGGGAGCAAACAGGAUUAGAUACCCUGGUAGUCCACGCCGUAAACGAUGAGUGCUAAGUGUUGGAGGGUUUCCACCCUUCAGUGCUGCAGCUAACGCAUUAAGCACUCCG